rnacentral:rRNA from 1 species
UACGGAGGGGACUAGCGUUGUUCGGAAUUACUGGGCGUAAAGCGCACGUAGCGGAUUUGUAAGUCAGGGGUGAAAUCCCGGGGCUCAACCUCGGAACUGCCUUUGAUACUGCAAAUCUCGAGUCCGGAAGAGGUGAGUGGAAUUCCUAGUGUAGAGGUGAAAUUCGUAGAUAUUAGGAAGAAACACCAGUGGCGAAGGCGGCUCACUGGUCCGGUACUGACGCUGAGGUGCGAAAGCGUGGGGAGCAAACAGG